rnacentral:lncRNA from 1 species
AGCAGCAAAGCAGCCAAUUGGUUGAAUGCUAACUGCGAAUUGCGUACUAAAUGAAGACUGAAGGACUCGAGGCAGCUACAGGUUACAGCCCUAAAGGUUGUGCUAGCUAGCAAGCCGGUGCCGAGGCGUCCAGCCAUUUAGGCACGAAUCAUGAAUCAUCCAGGUUCGUCUGAAGGGUUCUGAUGAAGAAACCUUAGACAACAUGGGUUGGACGGUGCAAAAAGAGGCUUUAGUAUUGCCAGGACACUCAAAAGACUGUAAAGACAAUGUACAGCCCAUGCAAUCAUUCAUAAUGAUUAAAUUCAGAUAUUAGGGAAAUAAUUCAAAUACUUGAGUGGUUUGGUGAUAGCAAGGAUCACACAAUAUGGCCUGUUCGUGUGAUAUUGUAUUGCUGUUUUCAUCGAGUUUAACCAAUCCGCGUCCGCACUCUACUCUGGCCCAGAAGUAGUAUUGGUUAUGUGAUCACAUCCAGCGUAAGGUAAAUUUCUUAUUUUGUUUGGAGCUCAUGAAGAGGAAUCUUUAUCAAUAUCAAAUCAAUUUGAAAUAGCUUUUGGGAAAAGGAAAGUCUUUCCCAGUGGCAUGUCAACAAGUUUAAGUAUUUCCAAUGAGACAGAUUGAUCAAUCAACAUAUGAUUAAACUUCCUGUUUCCCGAUAGGGAUUCUAUCAAAACUCUAUUACGGUGUACCGUACCCCAAAAGAUUCCGAAAUGGUUCGUCAGUUGCGCCUUCACGGCCGUGUAGUAGAACCUUUUAAAGGCGGAAACUCUAGAAUCUAGAUGGCGUUGAUGUGCGUCUAUUUGGAAGAUUACGAAUGUCAAGUUAAAUGGGAGUUUGUUACGUUACUCUGUUUUGUGUUUUAAAGGAUUUUUCUUCAACAAAUUUACGAUUGCUUUUUGUAUGUGGUGGUGUUUCCCCUUGUCAGCUAUGCCAGCCGCUGAACCAACAGCCUGCAUUCCUGCUAUUAAUGUACCACAAGGGAUCCUGACACUUUAAGAAGGCCACUAUUCCUUACAUGAAAAUCACCAUCCAGUUCAAGUACUGCUAAUGGACCUCAAGCCUUUCGUUUAAGCUUAGUGAUGUCUUCUCUCAUCAGUCAACGACAGAGUCUUCAUCUACUUUGUGUUGCUAACCAUCAGCCCUCAGCAUCCCAGGUAUCCAGAUUUCCAAGUUUCUCUGAUUAGCCAACCAUCAUCCAUACCCUUCAGCUCUUCAUUGUGGCUUCUCUUCCUCUCAUCUUAGUCUGCUGAAUGCCAACAUUGAAUAAUGUUCAUCAUCAUUGCCUUUCUAUGAAAAUCUUCACUGUUAGUCCUGCUGUUCUUCUCACCAUUACUUAGCCAGCUCACAUGGAUAGGCUUUAACAACAUCUCCAUUUUUUGGACUGCAAAUAUUCAUUUUCCUUCGGUACAACACUGCCGUUUUGACAAUUUCGGUAGUUUCGCCCCCAGUUGACCACACGCAACUACAUUUUCCUCGUCUUCCUGUCGUUGUUGUCUACGACUUCACUUCAUCGCUGUCUUCGUUGACGUCUUCGCCUUCAUCUCCGUCUCGUCGUCUUGGUCGUCUUGGUCGUCUUCGCCUUCAUCUCCGUCUCGUCGUCUUGGUCGUCUUCGCCUUCAUCUUCGUCUCGUCGUCUUGGUCGUCUUCGCCUUCAUCUCCGUCUCGUCGUCUUGGUCGUCUUCGCCUUCAUCUCCGUCUCGUCGUCUUCGCCGUCUUUGUCUACGUCAUCACCCCGUCGCUGGCUUCUCCUUCACCCUUCAUGUAGGGAAUUCAUCGUGGGUCGUCGCUCUGGUAUUGUUUUAUAUUGCAUUGUUAUGUUUAAGUUAACCCGUUGGCUGCCACCCCGUUUGCGUCCCAUUUUUGUUGUAGCUUGUAGGGACCGGCCGCAAUGGCCUUCGCCGUAAGGCGCCUUAGGCAAUGCACCAGUAGGGACUUCUCUUUGUCGAUGCGGUGGCGGAUUCCUGAGGGUGUGCAUUCCCUGUAACGGAUUCCGUCACCAUGUCAGCCCGGACUUGUCUACGGACAAGUCCCACCUUGUUCGCGAUCCUUAUGAUGCGAUGCGUAGUAACUGUAGUUUAAGCAACCUACGGGUUGCAUGGCCUGGCAGCCAACGGGUUAACUUAGUUAAGUGUAUCUACGUUUGUGUAUAUAAUUGUGUCUACAUUUAUUCUGUUAUGUAAAAUAGUGGUGGAAUUGUUGGGAGGAGGUGGGACAAUAAAAGCAAUUACAAUUUUAA